rnacentral:tRNA from 1 species
GAGGGUAUGGUUCAUUGGUAGAGCAUGUGCUUAGCAUGCAUGAGGUCCUGGGUUCAAUCCCCAGUACCUCCA